AACCCAUGGUUGGGACACCGCUUCAUCAAGGCUUUGAACCUCCCCCAUGCUUCUCUAAUAUUCUCUGCAGGGUUCAGCUGAAAGGCAAUGAUCUCAUGUUGCCUCU